CAGAAAAAGGCAAACUUGCUGAAAAGCAAGGACGCAAAGCCGAGGAUCUAAGGCAAGGUGCAUACAUUGCUAGGAUGGCCGGGCUACC
rnacentral:ncRNA from 1 species